AGUAACACGUGGGUAACCUGCCCAUCAGAAGGGGAUAACACUUGGAAACAGGUGCUAAUACCGUAUAACAAUCAAAACCGCAUGGUUUUGAUUUGAAAGGCGCUUUCGGGUGUCGCUGAUGGAUGGACCCGCGGUGCAUUAGCUAGUUGGUGAGGUAACGGCUCACCAAGGCCACGAUGCAUAGCCGACCUGAGAGGGUGAUCGGCCACAUUGGGACUGAGACACGGCCCAAACUCCUACGGGAGGCAGCAGUAGGGAAUCUUCGGCAAUGGACGAAAGUCUGACCGAGCAACGCCGCGUGAGUGAAGAAGG
rnacentral:rRNA from 1 species